UCAAUGAGUUCCUCACGGCCCUCCAUCUGGCGGCGAACCUGGCUAACGAGAGGCCUAUCGAUGCAAGAGUCCAAAGUCGAGAGGGUCGUAUCCAGUAUGUGACACCUAAUACGCUCCUCCUAGGCCGAGCAUCUCACAGUGGGGACUUCGGGUCCUUCAAUUUCAACAACUACCCCUACAAGCGCCUCAGGGAGAUUCAAAGCCAAGUUGAUGCCUUUUGGAAAGCAUGGUGCCAGCUUGCUGGGCCGAACCUCUUCAUUAGAGCUAAAUGGCAUACCGCAGAAAGGAAUGUUACUGUGGGAGACGUCGUUUGGCUUUGUGAUCAAAACUCCCUGCGAGGUCAAUUUAGGCUUGGCCGAGUCGUCUCUGUGGCACCGGAUUCGAAGGGCAUCGUGAGAGAUGUUGAAGUUCUUGUUGUACCUGGGGCCUGUGUGUCGGUCCAGCAUCAGAAGCCUGUAAUCCAGCACUUAGCUUCUGGAGGCGGGAAGGAGAGGCCUACUGGGGUUUUAUUACGCAGGGACGUCCGGCGACUUGUAGUCCUGUUGCCUGUGGAAGAGCAGGACACUGAACUCUUUUAGGGUCUAUAUUUGGCUGAUGUUCUCCAACCUUUUUGUUCGAGAACGAAAAAGGUUGAGUGGGAGGUGUUGCGGCGAAUGUCAUUCGCGCAGGUGGUCAUGCGGAACUAAUAAUUACUUACCUGUGUGCACCCGGGAGGAAGACAGUGACGGUCGCACCUGUCCUCCAUUUUGAGACAAAGCCGGCAAAAACGGCAUUGUGGCGCGACAAGCAAAGAGGUCGGAUCCACACCAAGUACUCCUGGGACUGUGCUAUAAUUGUGUACUGAAAAUCAGACUCUGAACGGACAGCCGGUUUUUCACCUGUAGAUGCCUGUAGAUGGCUGUAGAUGCCUGUAAAUGCCUGGCUCAAGAAAAGUGAAGAUAAAAUAAAAAAGGGAUAAAGAGC